rnacentral:rRNA from 1 species
AGAGUUUGAUCCUGGCUCAGGAUGAACGCUGGCGGCGUGCUUAACACAUGCAAGUCGAACGGGGGACCCCUGAAGGAGUUUUCGGACAACGGAAGGGAAUCCCUAGUGGCGGACGGGUGAGUAACGCGUGAGUAACCUGCCUUGGAGUGGGGAAUAACAGCUGGAAACAGCUGCUAAUACCGCAUAAAACGUCUGUGUCGCAUGGCACUGGACGUCAAAGAUUUAUCGCUCUGAGAUGGACUCGCGUCUGAUUAGCUAGUUGGUGGGGCAACGGCCCACCAAGGCGACGAUCAGUAGCCGGACUGAGAGGUUGGCCGGCCACAUUGGGACUGAGACACGGCCCAGACUCCUACGGGAGGCAGCAGUGGGGAAUAUUGGGCAAUGGGCGAAAGCCUGACCCAGCAACGCCGCGUGAAGGAAGAAGGCUUUCGGGUUGUAAACUUCUUUUGUCAGGGACGAAGCAAGUGACGGUACCUGACGAAUAAGCCACGGCUAACUACGUG